rnacentral:rRNA from 1 species
GUCCUCUUGAUUUUUUAGGAGGUCAGACCUGCCCAGUGAUAAAUUUAACGGCCGCGGUAUACUGACCGUGCAAAGGUAGCAUAAUCAUUAGUCUUUUAAUAGAAGGCUGGAAUGAAGGGUUUAACGAAAAAUUAGCUGUCUCAAUUAUAUUUUAGAAUUUAGCUUUUAAGUUAAAAGGCUUAAUUUUUGUUGGAGGACGAGAAGACCCUAUAGAGCUUUACAAUUUUAUUUAUUAUUUUUUUUAAGUUUAAUAAUUAAUAUUAGUUUUUAAAAUUGUUUUGUUGGGGUGACAAAAAUAUAUAUUUAACUUUUAUUAUUUUUUUACAUUAAUUUAUGAGUUUUGGAUCCAUCAUAGGUGAUCAUUAGAAUAAGUUACCUUAGGGAUAACAGCGUAAUCUUCUUUCAGAGUUCAAAUUUACAAGAAGGCUUGCGACCUCGAUGUUGGAUUAAGAUUAUAGUUAGGUGUAGCAGCUUAACUUAUAGGUCUGUUCGACCUUUAAAUUCUUACAUGAUCUGAGUUCAGACCGG